UUUUCCAGCUGUCACUGCAGUAAGCAUUUUGUUUCAACUUUCCUGAAUAUGUAGCUAGCCACAUAUUGAACAACGGCCCAAUAUCUCGGGAGCAGCUAGAAGUAGUGUCAUAUUGGCCCUUUGUUUAACCAUUCACUCCAAUGGCAGAAUGUUGGGCUGCAAAAUAUUUGUAAGCUGUUAUGGCUCGUGAUUAGCAUACAAAACUGCUAACCUGCUUUCUUUUCGUGCAACAAAUCUAUAUGCCAACAUAAUUUUCAAAAUUUGGUGUAGCUAAUUUGAGGCAGGCAUGCUCAGUGCACAAGCAAUCGCAUAAGACUAGCAUUCCGAGAGUAGUUUCUAAAGCUUUAUCAUUACUAAAACCAAAUAACAGAAUGAAGCAAGCAUUUCAAAUUUUUCAGGCAUUUUUAUUGUGCAUAAGAAAGCGAACAAAGGACAUAAAUACAGAAAAUAUGCCUGGCAUGAGAAGGAAAUGGUUCCAAGAACAGACACUGGCAUUAUUCUAAGCAGCCUGUAAGUUCAUCUUACAUCUUCACUAGCACAAAAUGCAUGCAGCUGCAGAAAUUGUAGCAUCUAAUUUCAGGAAACCCAUAAUGGAACUGUAAGGAAAGGUGCUGCAUUGUGCUGUAUUUGUAGAUGGCAUCUUUGUAAAAUUCUUGGCUUAUGCAUUGAAGAAAAAAGUUGCUUAGAAGUCGAGAAAGUGGAAGGUGAAUUUCUGAAUUUUGUGGCUCAUAUGCAGUACCGAAGAUUCCGUAGCGAUUAUGAUAAUUUCAAUGAAGUUUCAUUUACUUGCAUUCAUUUUAAUGCUGCUAAUGUCUGCAAAGCUUUGCCACACUAACUCAACAUUUUUUAACAUAAUCUGUUCCUUUUGCAUCCACCGACAAGAGGUUUAGGGCUGAAUGUCUUCAAAAUCCGUCGCAUUAUGUGGGAAUCGGAAUGAUGUUGCAGCCUGUUCCUCAUUUUUCCAUAUCCUGAAUAAAAUACAAAACACAAAUACAAUUCUCAAAAGUUACUUUCAGUUUUUAGCCAAGGUCUUGUGUUAGCAUGUUCUGUAUGUCAGUUUUUAUGUUGCUCUGUGUGUCUAGGCAGAGCUUACAUGUGGGUGGUGUUUCUCCUUAAUGUUCAUUAAAAGAGUGCACAAUAUUUUGUAAUUGCAACUAUCUUUUUCAUUCUCAUUGUUAUCAGACAUAAACCGUGUGCACAUAACUGUACACGUAGCACCUGGAGUAGAUCAAAACUCAGGACAGAGUCCAAAUUUCUCGUAGGUCUGGGAUGAGCACCAGAAAGGACUUCUGGCAGCAGCUGGUGACAGCAGCUUGGAGCUCUGCGGGGACGGGCGCUGUGACUCACCAGGCCACAGUGCCAAGUUCUUAACAUACUCGUUCUUGUGUCCUGGCACGGGAAAGAUAAUACACACUGAGCAAAUUCAAGUCAAAGAAAGUGCCCAAAUUCAGGCGAGCUCACAAAUGGAGAAAGAGGGCCUCAUCAGAGGUCUUCAAUUUCUCUGUGACCAGGGCAUCUCCAUAAGGUCCCUGACAACAGACCGCCAUACAGCAAUAAAGAAAUACAUGAGGCUGCAUUGCCCGGCCACCAAACACCAAUUUGACGUCUGGCACGUUGCAAAAGGCAUCAGAAGAAAAUUGACAGCUGCUUCACGGAAGGCCAGAUGCAGGGAGCUGUUGAGCUGGAUACAACCC